UCUGACUUCAAACUCAGAGAGCAGAGUCAUGAAAUGGGUCUUUUUGGCCUUAAGCUCUUUUCCCCAGGGAGAAUAUCACAGAUUCAGAUAUUUAUGAGAAAAGAAAAGAUCUAGAUUUUCCACUCUUUUUACACUAUUAGUUAUUAUCAAUAAUUCAUCCUGAAGUUUAAAUUAUUACUAGGCUCAUGCACUAACCCCUAACAUGGCACUACAAUAUGCUACCAAGCACUAAUGCUUACAAAACUAUACACAUCUCAAAAUGGAAGACAUUGGUGAUUUUGUUGUUCUUAAACAACUUGUAACAUUUGUCCACAAGUAUUAAAAUAUACAUAUAUAUAUUUCUAUUGCACAUAUCCCGUUUUUGUUCAACUUUUUAAAAGAAAACAGAGCUGUAGAAUGUGAAGUGCCAUAAAGUGAGAUGGAGCUGCAUAAAGCAUUUUCACUUUUUUUCCUUAGGAGAAAGAAAUAGUAUGAAGACUGUCAUCAUUUUUUCUGCCACUCCUCUAGGUCCAAAGUUGAAGGCAGGUCAUACUGUAGGGUCCAUCACAUCUUCUGAACAGAAAAAAAAAAAAUUUAAAAAUACCAAGUAUCCAAAGACUUCUAAGAAAGAAGUCAGCACAGCUUCCUUCUUUAGGAGAAAAUCCCUCUUAUCAGCCAAAAAUGUGGAUAGAUCAGAAGAGAGCAAGGGAAAUAAUCAGUUAAGGGAUUCCCUUCAAGUUGUAUUUAAUAUUGUAAUGUUUAAAAAAAAUUUUUUUACAGUAUUGGUUAUGUUUAAUUUAGUCACAAUCUGGUACACCUAUGGCCAUAGUCAGUAACACUAAGUUUCCUCCAAAAUCAACUGCAAGAUCACGCCAUUUAUUUCUCACUUUCUCCAAAUCCUAAAAUCACACUCUAAGUGAAGCAAAGCUGAAACGGUGCAAGUCAUCUUGAAGUAGAGGGAUAGGAAGAGAGGAUACUGUGUUAGAAUUUAUAGGACUGACUCCAGUUAUCACUGCUUUCAGUCCUGUGGCAUGACAUUAAACCUUACAGUAAGAGAGACUUGUGCCCUACAGACAUAGCAGACUGAAACAUGAAGAUGUGAAAAGCCAUUUAAUAAUAGCUGCGUACAAUAUGACAUUGAGGCUGUACACACAAGGGGGUGGACAAUUUAAUAACAAGCAAUAGAAAAGAUACCCCAUUUUUUAGGCCUCUUCUACACUUAAGGAGUCAGGGAGUCAAAAACAGAAAUGGAAUCUUACCUGGAGCGAGUGGGAAGUGACCGAGGCUGACAAAGCCUCACCCAGAAGCAUACAGUGCUGGCUCCUAGAUGAACGCUCCCACCUAUAUGUCCAGGCAGCAGCAGAUAUAAAAGCUGAUAUAAUCUCUUGUCAUGUUGCAUUUAUGUUCAAAUAAAUGCAAGUGAUAGCACA
rnacentral:lncRNA from 1 species